GUCUGAUCCUGGCUCAGAUUGAACGCUGGCGGCAUGCCUAACACAUGCAAGUCGAACGGUAACGACGGGAGCUUGCUCCCGGGCGACGAGUGGCGGACGGGUGAGUAACGCGUAGGAAUUUACCCAGUAGUGGGGGACAACUCGGGGAAACUCGAGCUAAUACCGCAUACGCCCUACGGGGGAAAGCGGGGGAUCUUCGGACCUCGCGCUAUUGGAUGAGCCUGCGUCGGAUUAGCUUGUUGGUAGGGUAAUGGCCUACCAAGGCGACGAUCCGUAGCUGGUCUGAGAGGACGAUCAGCCACACUGGGACUGAGACACGGCCCAGACUCCUACGGGAGGCAGCAGUGGGGAAUAUUGGACAAUGGGGGCAACCCUGAUCCAGCAAUGACGCGUGUGUGAAGAAGGCCUGCGGGUUGUAAAGCACUUUCAGAAGGGAUACCUUCAGAAGAAGCACCGGCUAAUUCCGUGCCAGCAGCCGCGGUAAUACGGAAGGUGCAAGCGUUAAUCGGAAUUACUGGGCGUAAAGCGCGCGUAGGCGGUUUGGUGAGUCAGAUGUGAAAGCCCUGGGCUUAACCUGGGAACUGCAUUUGAUACUGCCAGGCUAGAGUAUGGUAGAGGGAAGUGGAAUUCCGGGUGUAGCGGUGAAAUGCGUAGAUAUCCGGAGGAACACCAGUGGCGAAGGCGGCUUCCUGGACCAAUACUGACGCUCAGGCGCGAAAGCGUGGGUAGCAAACAGGAUUAGAUACCCUGGUAGUCCACGCUGUAAACGAUGUCAACUAGCUGUUGGGUCCAUUUAAGGGCUUAGUGGCGCAGCUAACGCGAUAAGUUGACCGCCUGGGGAGUACGGCCGCAAGGUUAAAACUAAAAGGAAUUGACGGGGGCCCGCACAAGCGGUGGAGCAUGUGGUUUAAUUCGAUGCAACGCGAAGAACCUUACCAGCCCUUGACAUCCUCGGAACUUGGCAGAGAUGCCUUGGUGCCUUCGGGAACCGAGUGACAGGUGCUGCAUGGCUGUCGUCAGCUCGUGUCGUGAGAUGUUGGGUUAAGUCCCGUAACGAGCGCAACCCUUGUCCUUAGUUGCCAGCAUUUCGGAUGGGAACUCUAAGGAGACUGCCGGUGACAAACCGGAGGAAGGUGGGGAUGACGUCAAGUCAUCAUGGCCCUUAUGGGCUGGGCUACACACGUGCUACAAUGGUCGGCACAGAGGGCUGCGAACCCGCGAGGGGGAGCUAAUCCCAGAAAACCGAUCGUAGUCCGGAUUGCAGUCUGCAACUCGACUGCAUGAAGUCGGAAUCGCUAGUAAUCGCGGAUCAGAACGCCGCGGUGAAUACGUUCCCGGGCCUUGUACACACCGCCCGUCACACCAUGGGAGUGGGUUGCACCAGAAGUGGUUAGUCUAACCUUCGGGAGGACGAUCACCACGGUGUGAUUCAUGACUGGGGUGAAGUCU
rnacentral:rRNA from 1 species